rnacentral:rRNA from 1 species
AAUCAACGCUGGCGGCGUGCCUCAGACAUGCAAGUCGAACGCGAAACCUUCCUUCGGGAGGGGAGUAGAGUGGCGCACGGGUGAGUAACACGUAGGUAAUUUGCCUUUGGGUGGGGAAUAACAGCCGGAAACGGCUGCUAAUACCGCAUAAUGCAGCGGCUCGACAUCGAGACAGUUGUUAAAGCGGGGGAUUCGCAAGAACCUCGCGCCUGAAGAGAAGCCUGCGGCAGAUUAGCUAGUUGGUAGGGUAAUGGCCUACCAAGGCGACGAUCUGUAACCGGCCUGAGAGGGCGGUCGGUCACACUGACACUGACAUACGGGUCAGACUCCUACGGGAGGCAGCAGUCGGGAA